AUUGAACGCUGGCGGCAUGCCUUACACAUGCAAGUCGAACGGCAGCACGGGAGCAAUCCUGGUGGCGAGUGGCGAACGGGUGAGUAAAGUAUCGGAACGUGCCCAGUCGUGGGGGAUAACGUAGCGAAAGUUACGCUAAUACCGCAUACGAUCUAUGGAUGAAAGCGGGGGAUCGCAAGACCUCGCGCGAUUGGAGCGGCCGAUAUCAGAUUAGGUAGUUGGUGGGGUAAAGGCCCACCAAGCCGACGAUCUGUAGCUGGUCUGAGAGGACGACCAGCCACACUGGGACUGAGACACGGCCCAGACUCCUACGGGAGGCAGCAGUGGGGAAUUUUGGACAAUGGGCGAAAGCCUGAUCCAGCCAUGCCGCGUGCAGGAUGAAGGCCUUCGGGUUGUAAACUGCUUUUGUACGGAACGAAAAGGACUGCCCUAAUACGGUGGUCCCAUGACGGUACCGUAAGAAUAAGCACCGGCUAACUACGUGCCAGCAGCCGCCGUAACAC
rnacentral:rRNA from 1 species